GGAAACAGAUGCUAAUACCGCAUAAAACCUAACACCGCAUGGUGUAGGGUUGAAAGAUGGUUUCGGCUAUCACUUUAGGAUGGACCCGCGGUGCAUUAGUUAGUUGGUGAGGUAAAGGCUCACCAAGACCGUGAUGCAUAGCCGACCUGAGAGGUAAUCGGCCACACUGGGACUGAGACACGGCCCAGACUCCUACGGGAGGCAGCAGUAGGGAAUCUUCCACAAUGGACGAAAGUCUGAUGGAGCAACGCCGCGUGAGUGAAGAAGGUUUUCGGAUCGUAAAACUCUGUUGUUGGAGAAGAAUGUAUCUGAUAGUAACUGAUCAGGUAGUGACGGUAUCCAACCAGAAAGCCACGGCUAACUACGUG
rnacentral:rRNA from 1 species